GCCACCACCGACCUCUCCUCCUUUCGAGCAUCCACGGUCGCCGCCACCGCCACGGUCGGCCCUCCGAUGGAGGUGCCGCCGGAGUGGCCGGCGGGCCGGGUCCGGGAGGUUUUCAUCGACUUCUUCACGUCCAGGUCGCACACGCCAUGGCCGUCGAGCCCCGUGGUGCCCGUCGGCGACCCCACGCUCCUGUUCACCAACGCCGGGAUGAACGGGUUCAAGGCGAUAUUCCUCGGCCUGGCCGCCCCGGGCUCGCCGCUUGGCCGCCUGCGCCGCGCCUGCAACAACCAGAAGUGCAUCCGCGCUGGCGGCAAGCACAACGACCUCGACGACGUGGGCAAGGACACCUACCAUCACACCUUCUUCGGGAUGCUCGGGAGCUGGUCCUUCGGAGACUACUUCAGGGAGGAGGCCAUCAUGUAUGCGUGGGAGCUCCUCACCCAGGUAUGUACCGGCUUCUUCUUGCCUUCAGCUAGCCCCUUCUCAAGCUCUGAUCCCGUGCGUGUUAGUUUGUAUACACACUACAAAUACUUCUAUAGUAUCAGGUUAUGGAUCAGUGAAAUUUAA
rnacentral:rRNA from 1 species